GGAGGUGGCAAGCGUUGUUCGGAAUUACUGGGCGUAAAGGGCGCGUAGGCGGGGAGGCAAGUCGGGUGUGAAAUCCCUCGGCCCAACCGAGGAACGGCGCUCGAAACUGCUUCUCUUGAGUCCCGGAGAGGAAGGUGGAAUUCCCGGUGUAGCGGUGAAAUGUGUAGAGAUCGGGAGGAACACCGGUGGCGAAGGCGGCCUUCUGGACGGUGACUGACGCUGAGGCGCGAAAGCGUGGGUAGCAAACGGGAUUAGAUACCCCGGUAGUCCACGCUGUAAACGAUGGGUGCUAGGUGUGGGGGUAUUGACCCCCUCCGUGCCCGAAGCUAACGCAUUAAGCACCCCCCCCGCCUGGGGAGUACGGCCGCAAGGUUG
rnacentral:rRNA from 1 species